GUGAAUGAUCUUCGUCUCCUGAGCUCCUGAAGAAAAUAUCGAAUAGAAAUUGUCAGAAGACAACUGUAUUCGCAGCAUCUGUUCUUCAUUAGUUCACUAGAUCUGUGGGAUUGACUAAAUCAAGAUGCUGCUGAUCAUUGAAGCUCUUCUCUUUUUAGCUGCUCUAAGACAGGAUCACAGAGCUGCUGCUGAAGACACAGAAUAUCAAUUGGAUAUGGCACCGGACUCUGUUGUUGACCGGUAUUACGGCUGUGAAAAGAAAAUGACAGAUCUGGUGGAUAAAAAAUAUCUGGUCACGGAAAAAAAUAACUCACCUAAUUUUAAAGCUGCUUGGAUAAUAGCUGACAAAGAAACCAGUAAAUUUAAUGUGUUCAGCAAAUUAUCAAAACAACAUAAAAUUGCCAUAAAGGUGUAUGCUGAUGAUAAUGUACGUAGUGAAUUCAGUCGUGACACUCGUGCUGGCAAACAAAGCUACAAAGACAAUACAUACAAAUGGUAUUCACUUCACUUUCUGUUAACAGAAGCGAUACAGAUUCUGAAGAAAACACAAAAUAGAUGCUUUGAUACUUUUCGUGGUACAAAUGAUAAAUUUACUUAAGAGAGUGGAGAGGUUGGUUUUGGGUCAUUCACUUCAACCUCUCUUGAUCGUGAAAAAGCGAAACAUUUGGGACGUGUGUCUUGUUUUGAAAUCCACACUUGUGAAGGUGCUGAUGUGACAAAAUAUUCUAAGCAUCCUGAGAAGAAAGAGGUGCUGAUUCCUCCUUAUGAGAAGUUUAAUGUCGCUGUCAAGACAAAAACAGAUGACCCAAAUCUCUGGUGUGAGACUGUGUACAUACUGAAAAGCUCUGGAAUAAGAAGUGACAUGAACUGUGCUCUAUUCAAUCCACAUUAAAUUUAUGUGAUAUACUCAUGUGCAUCAGUUCAGGACAAUACAAAAACAUCUCUGGUGUGACACUGUGUCCAGCUCUGGGAAAAUAAGUGAUCUGAACUGUACAAUAGCAUCAAACAGUUGCUUUCUUUAAUGUUGUGCUAAUUUUAACUUUAUUUUCUAAUGUGUUUAGUUAACCUGUAGGUACUGCAUAUUACUUUCUGUUAUUGAGCCUUUAUUGUCUUGUUUUACUGAAGCGCAGCAUUUGUCUGAUUGUACGACUAAAGGUACACAAUGUAAACUUCAGAAAACCAGAGUGCUUAUGCUUUUUUAAAGAUUCAGAUUCAACUUCUGUCAUCCAAAUAAAUCUC